rnacentral:rRNA from 1 species
GACAGAGGGUGCAAACGUUGUUCGGAAUUACUGGGCGUAAAGCGCGUGUAGGCGGCAGGGCAUGUCGGAUGUGAAAUCCCGUGGCUCAACCACGGAAGUGCACCCGAAACUGCCCAGCUUGAGUCUCGGAGAGGGAGGCGGAAUGCUUGGUGUAGAGGUGAAAUUCGUAGAUAUCAAGAGGAACACCAGUGGCGAAGGCGAGUCCCUGGACGAUUCCUGACACUGAGGCACGAAAGCUAGGGGAGCAAACAGG